rnacentral:lncRNA from 1 species
CAUAAGCAACUUCCGCCCAACUUCAAGAAGCUUUUGCUCAUUCAUUUGAAGAAGUUUGUGGCUGCUGGGAAGCUCGUGAAGGUGAGAGGCUCGUACAAGCUUCCCCCCAGUCGACCUUCGGCUCCGAAGCCGACGGGUGCUGCUCCGGCUAAGAAGAAGGCUGUGGCAACGAAGCCUAAAACUGCUGCCAAGCCGAAAGAAGCUAAGAAUACGAAGGCGAAGAAGGCGCCAGCCAAGCCCAAGGCUUCCGUGCCUAAGCCUAAAGCAGCUGCUAAGACGAAGGCAGCUGCCAAGCCCAAAGUUGCUCCAGCUAAGCCUAAGGUUCCUGCCAAGCCCAAGGCGGCUGCUAAGACGAAGACUGUGACGAAGCCCAAGC